GAGAUGGAGAUAUGGUGACAAGCAGAGAGGAGGAGGACUGUGACCUAAACAGGAGAAGGAAGAAAAAGAGGAGGUGGUGGCACAGCUACUUGAACAAAGUGGGAGUCCCUGGAAGGUACCUGUACGCUCUGUUCUCCUGGUAAAGAGAUCUACACUGCUGGUACCCUCAGCAGAGCUCCCUGCCCUGAGGAGGACAUUGGUAUGGAAGAUGCAGGAAGACAGGAGCCACUAGUGCACACAUCACUCAAGAUGAAUACCCUGUGACUCAUGGAGAAGACCAGUCUGGCCUCAGUCUGAGCUCCAGUGUCCUAACUCCCUGAGACUGGUACCCAGGAACUGCCCAUAUCUGUGGGGGCAUCUGC
rnacentral:lncRNA from 1 species